rnacentral:lncRNA from 1 species
UUUAAUCUCGAUUGCUCUUACGAAUUUAAUUUUUCGGGUAUUGAAGGGUAAGUAUUUCUAUGGAAUUUGUUUUUUUUAAGGGUGGUGUUUAUAGGUUGAUUAUUUAUUUUUAAGGCUUGGGUUAACCUCUUGAAAUCUGUGUUGUUAGAUAAUAGUCAAGGAAUUUGGAACUCUCAUUCUGUGAGCUAGUUAUCUUAAAGGCUGCUGUGGAUGUUGGGUAAGUUUUGAACACCUAAGAGUUCGAUUUUUGUGUUAGAAUUGUUUAUGUUGUGUUGUAGUCGAGUGGGUUGUUUUGGUAAAUUGAGGAAUUGGAACUGAUUUGGGGCGAUUUAUUAUUGAUUUUAGGUGUUGGAUAUUGCGUUGUUGUUUUCGCAUCAAAAUCGAACCAGGUGUGUAACGAGAAACCUGAAAAUCAGCGAACGGCGAAAGCUG